rnacentral:rRNA from 1 species
AUUGAACGCUGGCGGCAUGCUUUACACAUGCAAGUCGAACGGUAACAGCACUUCGGUGGCUGACGAGUGGCGAACGGGUGAGUAAUACAUCGGAACGUGCCUAGUAGUGGGGGAUAACUACUCGAAAGAGUAGCUAAUACCGCAUGAGAUCUAAGGAUGAAAGCAGGGGACCUUCGGGCCUUGCGCUACUAGAGCGGCUGAUGGCAGAUUAGGUAGUUGGUGGGAUAAAAGCUUACCAAGCCGACGAUCUGUAGCUGGUCUGAGAGGACGACCAGCCACACUGGGGCUGAGACACGGCCCAGACUCCUACGGGAGGCAGCAGUGGGGAAUUUUGGACAAUGGGCGCAAGCCUGAUCCAGCAAUGCCGCGUGCAGGAUGAAGGCCUUCGGGUUGUAAACUGCUUUUGUACGGAACGAAAAGCCCUCUUCUAAUACAGGAGGGUCAUGACGGUACCGUAAGAAUAAGCACCGGCUAACUACGUG